UUUUGAACGAUAUGUUUUUUUAGUUUCUCCAUAAGAAUAUGAUAAAUUACAUUUUCUUGGGAAUAGUGAUUUCUUUAAGCUUUGUUGCCUUGAUGACAUUACCUAUCCAGAGACAAAAUGGGCCAUCCUCACCAAAGUAGUAUAGAAGAGGACUUUUUAACUUCUGCUUUUGUCUGUCAUAAUGAAUAAAGUUGAAAAGGGAUGUAGCUUGAGAAGAAGAAUAGUUUAAAUUUAGAUAAUGGUGGAAUCUGAGUUUGAUUGACUAGGAUGGGAAAUAGUGCAACAUUUAGAAGCUAACAAGCUCUCUAUAGUACCUACUGGAGACACAGAUUGUACAUCAGUACCUUAACGGUACAUAGGAGUAAUAUUGUUUCUAUCUGGUUGAUUUUCGUGGAGCUUUAAAUGGGCCUUAAGAGGGGGAAGCGAAGAGAAA
rnacentral:misc_RNA from 1 species